rnacentral:rRNA from 1 species
UAGGGAAUCUUCCACAAUGGGCGAAAGCCUGAUGGAGCAACGCCGCGUGUGUGAUGAAGGGUUUCGGCUCGUAAACACUGUUGUAAGAGAAGAACGUGUGUGAGAGUGGAAAGUUCACACAGUGACGGUAACUUACCAGAAAGGGACGGCUAACUACGUACCAC